AAAAGAUGAUGAUCGGCCGUGUAGUUAACGAGAUGGAGGUAGGCGUGCCUGCUGAUGAUAUUUGGGCUGUGUAUAGCUCGCCGGAGCUGCCCAGACUCUUCGUCCAGCUUAUGCCCAAUGUCAUCAAGAAAAUUGAUAUUCUUCAGGGUGAUGGAACGGGAUGCCGGAGCCACGUACAUGGAAGGAAAAGUUCAUAAAGAUUGAUCAUCAACACCGGGAGAAGGUGGUCCGACAAAUUGAAGGAGGAUUUCUUGAUAUGGGGUUUCGUGUGUUUCAUGUUAUCUUCAAAAUCAUAGAGAAAGACGCCUGUUCGUGCAUCAUUCAUCCACCACUGCUUUCGAACUCGAUGAGAAAUUCGAAAACAACGCUAAUCUUAUUACUGCUGGUAAUUUAUGGGGAACGGCCAAAGCAAUUUCAAACUAUGUCAUUCAGAACAAAUCAAAGGGGAGAAACCACUAAGUCCACCGAAUUUUAUGAUUCUUGAUUCAGUGUGUAUAAAAUGUAAUUCAAUAAUUGAUCAUCACAUGCCUGGAAUUCUGGAAAUCACAAAAAUUUCGGUUGCAUAUUAAAAUA